rnacentral:rRNA from 1 species
CAGCCGCCGCGGGAAUACGAAGGGUGCAAGCGUUACUCGGAAUUACUGGGCGUAAAGCGUGCGUAGGUGGUGGUUUAAGUCCGUUGUGAAAGCCCUGGGCUCAACCUGGGAAUUGCAGUGGAUACUGGAUCACUAGAGUGUGGUAGAGGAUAGUGGAAUUUCCGGUGUAGCGGUGAAAUGCGUAGAGAUCGGGAGGAACAACAGUGGCGAAGGCGGCCAUCUGGGACAACACUGACGCUGAGGCACGAAAGCGUGGGGAGCAAACAGGAUUAGAUACCCCGGUAGUCCCUGUCUCUUAUAA